rnacentral:lncRNA from 1 species
GUCCGACGUUUGUCACAAAGUGCAGGUUUGGGACACCACAAAAAUUGUGACGGGGUUAUUGUAGUUUAAAGACACCAAACCUUUUUCUGAAUUAUUUAUUUCUAUGGUAUAUCUCUUUGACUUAUAAGUUUUGACAUCCGAGUUUUGAUUAUUCUUUGGUAUCUUCCAUCUUUUUUUACUUGUAUCAGUUUUGCGUAUCAUAUUAGUAUCUUCUGUCAAUAAAAAUUAGAGAGAUGUGGUGUGAUACCAAUGAGACAGAUCUCUACAAGAGACCAAAUGACAUCGAACAUGAAAAGUUAUCAACCAUAUUUUGUUUAUUAUUUUCGUUUUAAAAAAAUGUGGAAUUUUAGGCUCAUUCAGAUUUUGAAUUUUCCGUUCAGGUCCGAGUUUUGACACCCCAACAAUAUUUUUCACAUAUUUUUUUUUAUAUUAUCAUUAAAUUGAACUUUUUGUGUCACAAAAUCAAAAGUUGAAAGAUAUCCAUUGAAUAUUAAAAAAGUUAUUGUAGUUAGAAUUAGUCCGACAUAGAUUUUCAGGUCCCUUC